rnacentral:lncRNA from 1 species
AGUUCUUUUAUCCAUUUGUUCACUGCUAUGUGAUCCAAACCCAGAUGACCCCCUAGUGCCAGAGAUUGCACGGAUCUAUAAAACAGACAGAGAUAAGUACAAUAGGUUAGCAAGAGAGUGGACAGAGAAAUACGCUAUGUUGUAGGGUACAACAGAAUAUCUCGGGAAUGGACUCAGAAGUAUGCCAUGUGAUGCUACCUUAAAGUCAGAAUAACCUGCAUUAUAGCUGGAAUAAACUUUAAAUUACUGUUCCUUUUUUGAUUUUCUUAUCCGGCUGCUCCCCUAUCAGACCUCAUCUUUUUUAAUUUUAUUUUUUGUUUACCUCCCUCCAUUCAUUCACAUGCUCAUCUGAGAAGACUUAAGUUCUUCCAGCUUUGGACAAUAACUGCUUUUAGAAACUGUAAAGUAGUUACAAGAGAACAGUUGCCCAAGACUCAGAAUUUUUAAAAAAAAAUGGAGCAUGUGUAUUAUGUGGCCAAUGUCUUCACUCUAACUUGGUUAUGAGACUAAAACCAUUCCUCACUGCUCUAACAUGCUGAAGAAAUCAUCUGAGGGGGAGGGAGAUGGAUGCUCAGUUGUCACAUCAAAGGAUACAGCAUUAUUCUAGCAGCAUCCAUUCUUGUUUAAGCCUUCCACUGUUAGAGAUUUGAGGUUACAUGAUAUGCUUUAUGCUCAUAACUGAUGUGGCUGGAGAAUUGGUAUUGAAUUUAUAGCAUCAGCAGAACAGAAAAUGUGAUGUAUUUUAUGCAUGUCAAUAAAGGAAUGACCUGUUCUUGUUCUACAGAGAAUGGAAAUUGGAAGUCAAACACCCUUUGUAUUCCAAAAUAGGGUCUCAAACAUUUUGUAAUUUUCAUUUAAAUUGUUAGGAGGCUUGGAGCUAUUAGUUAAUCUAUCUUCCAAUACACUGUUUAAUAUAGCACUGAAUAAAUGAUGCAAGUUGUCAAUGGAUGAGUGAUCAACUAAUAGCUCUGCUAGUAAUUGAUUUAUUUUUCUUCAAUAAAGUUGCAUAAACCAAUGAGUUAGCUGCCUGGAUUAAUCAGUAUGGGAAACAAUCUUUUGUAAAUGCAAAGCUGUUUUUUGUAUAUACUGUUGGGAUUUGCUUCAUUGUUUGACAUCAAAUGAUGAUGUAAAGUUCGAAAGAGUGAAUAUUUUGCCAUGUUCAGUUAAAGUGCACAGUCUGUUACAGGUUGACACAUUGCUUAACCUGAUUUAUGCAGAAUUAAUAAGCUAUUUGGAUAGUGUAGCUUUAAUGUGCUGCACAUGAUACUGGCAGCCCUAGAGUUCAUAGAUGGACUUUUGGGACCCAGCAGUUUUGAAAUGUGUUUAUGGAGUUUAAGAAAUUUAUUUUCCAGGUGCAGCCCCUGUCUAACUGAAAUUUCUCUUCACCUUGUACACUUGACAGCUGAAAAAAAACAACAUGGGAGUAAUAAUGGGUCAGAAUUUGCAAAAUAAAGUACUGUUUUGGUGUGGGAGUUGUCAUGAGGCUGUGUUGAAGUGACUUAUCUAUGUGGGAUAUUGAGUAUCCAUUGAAAUGGAUUUGUUCAGCCAUUUACAUUAAUGAGCAUUUAAAUGCAACAGAUACCAUUUCAGGUGACUUAACAUGAAUGAAUAAAAGUCAAUGCUAUUGGAUUGUUUUUUGUUUGACAAGUGCUAUCUGUGCCACUGAUUUAACUUCUGUAGUAACAAGGGCAUUACCAUUCUUCACCUUUCCUAAUUCUGAUCCCAUAGUUUUACAUUUUUCCUGUUUAUUUUGAUUUUGUUCACUGCUUUAUUUCUUAAAGUUCUAGCACAUCUGUGACUCCUCCACUUCCACAUUUUUGCACUGCUUACACUUACGUGCAAUCUUAUUCCUUGUCUGCACACAGAUGUGGAAAGCUAGAAAUAAAUGUUAAAACUUACUUUUUAUAAACAUUUUAAUAUGUAGUUUGGACAUGAU